rnacentral:rRNA from 1 species
AGCGAACGCUGGCGGCAGGCCUAACACAUGCAAGUCGAACGGAUCCUUCGGGAUUAGUGGCGGACGGGUGAGUAACACGUGGGAACGUGCCCUUUGGUUCGGAACAACUCAGGGAAACUUGAGCUAAUACCGGAUGUGCCCUUCGGGGGAAAGAUUUAUCGCCAUUGGAGCGGCCCGCGUCUGAUUAGCUAGUUGGUGAGGUAACGGCCCACCAAGGCGACGAUCAGUAGCUGGUCUGAGAGGAUGAUCAGCCACACUGGGACUUAGACACGGCCCAGACCCCUACGGGAGGCAGCAGUGGGGAAUCUUGCGCAAUGGGCGAAAGCCUGACGCAGCCAUGCCGCGUGAAUGAUGAAGGUCUUAGGAUUGUAAAAUUCUUUCAGCGGGGACGAUAAUGACGGUACCCGCAGAAGAAGCGCCGGCUAACUUCGUG